CUCAGUCUCUUUCAGUAGUUCCAAAUAGUGUUAUACAGUAUUUCACUGGAAACAGUGGUUUCACCACAGAUCUGGCAGUAGCUUCUGUUUAAAACACAACUUUGCCCCAAAGCAUCCAUCAAAGACUUCAAAACAUAAUUGAUUUUGGCAGUCCACACCAAGACCAUAAUGUGGAUGGUAACUGCCAGUGGAUACGAGGGCCUUUAUGAAGUCUGAGGUGUGGUGUGUGUUCUCAGGAGGAAAUGGGGUGAAAUGGUUUAUUCAGAACUGUAAAACGUUUUUCUAAUUAGAUCUCAAUUGCAUAAAAACCA